UACGGAGGAUGCGAGCGUUAUCCGGAUUUAUUGGGUUUAAAGGGUGCGUAGGUGGGAUUUUAAGUCAGCGGUGAAAGUUUGUGGCUCAACCAUAAAAUUGCCGUUGAAACUGGAGUUCUUGAGUAUGUUUGAAGUAGGCGGAAUGCGUGGUGUAGCGGUGAAAUGCAUAGAUAUCACGAGGAACUCCGAUUGCGCAGGCAGCUUACUAAACUACUACUGACGCUCAUGCACGAAGGCGUGGGGAUCAAACAGGAUUAGAUACCCCGGUAGU
rnacentral:rRNA from 1 species